rnacentral:rRNA from 1 species
UCUGNUCUGUCACUGACGCUGAGGCUCGAAAGCGUGGGUAGCGAACAGGAUUAGAUACCCUGGUAGUNCACGCCGUAAACGAUGAGUGCUAGGUGUUAGGCCCUUUCCGGGGCUUAGUGCCGGAGCUAACGCAAUAAGCACUCCGCCUGGGGAGUACGACCGCAAGGUUGAAACUCAAAGGAAUUGACGGGGGCCCGCACAAGCGGUGGAGCAUGUGGUUUAAUUCGAAGCAACGCGAAGAACCUUACCAGGUCUUGACAUCCCGAUGCUAUUCUUAGAGAUAGGAAGUUACUUCGGUACAUCGGAGACAGGUGGUGCAUGGUUGUCGUCAGCUCGUGUCGUGAGAUGUUGGGUUAAGUCCCGCAACGAGCGCAACCCUUAUUGUUAGUUGCCAUCAUUAAGUUGGGCACUCUAGCGAGACUGCCGGUAAUAAACCGGAGGAAGGUGGGGAUGACGUCAAAUCAUCAUGCCCCUUAUGACCUGGGCUACACACGUGCUACAAUGGUCGGUACAACGAGUUGCGAGCCGGUGACGGCAAGCUAAUCUCUGAAAGCCGAUCUCAGUUCGGAUUGGAGGCUGCAACUCGCCUCCAUGAAGUCGGAAUCGCUAGUAAUCGCGGAUCAGCACGCCGCGGUGAAUACGUUCCCGGGCCUUGUACACACC